GCUCGCUUCAACUAUGCAUAUGUUAAGUUGGAAUGAUACAGGGAAGAUUAUCAUGGCCCUUGUGCCAGGAUGACAGGUAAAUUCAUGAAGUGUUCCUUAUUUUU